rnacentral:rRNA from 1 species
GACGAACGCUGGCGGCGUGCUUAACACAUGCAAGUCGAACGGAAAGGCCCUGCUUUUGUGGGGUGCUCGAGUGGCGAACGGGUGAGUAACACGUGAGUAACCUGCCCUUUACUUUGGUAUAACUUCAGGAAACUGGGGCUAAUACCGGAUAGGUGCUCCUGCUGCCUGGUUGGGGUUGGAAAGUUUGGGCGGUUUGGGAUGGAUUCGUGGCUUAUCAGCUUGUUGGUGGGGUAGUGGCUUACCAAGGCUUUGACGGGUAGCCGGCCUGAGAGGGUGACCGGCCACAUUGGGACUGAGAUACGGCCCAGACUCCUACGGGAGGCAGCAGUGGGGAAUAUUGCACAAUGGGCGGAAGCCUGAUGCAGCAACGCCGCGUGCGGGAUGACGGCCUUCGGGUUGUAAACCGCUUUCGCCUGUGACGAAGCGUGAGUGACGGUAAUGGGUAAAGAAGCACCGGCUAACUACGUG